CUUAUUAUCUGAAAAGGUUUCGUGAAAUUCUGUUGUGUGGUUUGAGAGGAGUUGCGAUGACAAACUGUUGCAGUAGUACAUUAAAGUAAAUAAGUUCAAAGGGGCGUAACUCCUAGAAAAAAAAUUGAAUCACAAUUUUCCGUCGAUAUGCACAACUAGUAUGUCCUUAUUAUCGUGAAAAAUUCUGAAUUCUGUUGUGUGGUGAGAGGAGUUGCGAUGACAAACUGUUGCAGUAGUACAUUAAGUAAAUAAGUUCAAAGGGGCGUAAC
rnacentral:lncRNA from 1 species